GGCUUAACAUCACACAUUUAUUUUCUCUGUUCUGGAGGCUGAAAGUCCAAGACUGAGGCUCCAGUCAAUUCCAUCUCUUGUGAGGGCUCUCUUCUCAGCUUGUGGACGGCAGCCUCCUUGCUGUGUCCUCACACAGACUUUCCUCAGUGCAUGCGUGUGGGAAGAAAGUGAGAGGGAGAACUCUGGUGUCUGUCCUCAUAAGAACACUAAUCCUGUUGAAUCAGUGCCCAUCCUCACGAACCCAUUUCAUCUUAGUUACUUCCUUAGAGGCCCCAUCUCCAAAUACAGCCACAUUAGAGUGAGGUCUUGAACAUACAAAUUUGGGGGAGACACCCACAUUCAGUUCAUAACACUACCAUUUCUGAAAUUGCAAUCCCAAUCUCCCCAACACUCCUUCACCCCCUUACCUUGCUCUCUUCCCCCCACAGUUCACCUUUCUCGUACUCUCCAAUGAAUUCAUAUUAUGAAUUCUAUUGUUUAUUAUCUGUCACCCUCUCCCCCAUCUAGAAUAAAACUCAAUGAUUAAGGGUAGGAGUCUUUGUCUACUUGUUCUUUAUGUGUCCCAGGCAUCUAGGUUAGUGCCUUGUACACAGUUGGUACUCAAGAUUAGCUGUUGAAUGAAUGAAGGAGAAAAAACAUCUCCUUCCUGGCCCCUUUUCCCUUUUCAUUCUCUUUGCACAUCACCAGGGAAGGAAAAGAAACACACCUCAAUAAUCAAUUAGUUUGAGGAGAGCUGGUAGUCUUCAUUCCAUUUAGAAACCAGAUCUGGUAUUCAAUAAUUAAAAAUAAUUAAUAAUUAAUAAGCAGCCCAAAUUUCCACCAACGGAUGAGUAGGUAAACACCAGAUUAAAAGACUUCCAAGCAGUCCAUGAUUCUAGCAUACUCAUCUAUGACUGCUGGAUAUGAGAUGUGAUUUGAUUAAAGAGACAGGCCAGGCACGGUGACUCACGCCUGUGAAUCCCAGCACUUUGGGAGGCCGAGGCAGGCGGAUCACGAGGUCAAGAGAUUGAGACCAUCCUGGCCAAAGUGGUGAAACCCCGUCUCUACUAAAAAUAUAAAAAUUAGCUGGGUGUAGUGGUGCACGCCUGUAGUCCCAGCUACUCGGGAGGCUGAGGCAGAAGAAUCGCUUGAACCAGGCAGGCGGAGGUUGCAGUGAGCCGACGUCAUGCCACCGCACUCCAGCCUGGGUGACAGAGCGAGACUCUGUCUCAAAAUAAAAAGGCAACACGAUAAAUGAAGUGCAUUUAUUAGGAUAAUCAACAGUUACCAGGUCCGGUUCUAAACGGAAUGAAAACUACCAGCUCUCCUGAAACUAACUGUACCCUCGUUAAGUCUCUUAGUGUGUGGAACUGUUUCUUCAUCUGAAAAUUGAAAACAACAAGACAUGCAAGGUACAGCAUGAGGUAAUGUGCUCAGGGUGCUUUCAACAGCUAGACUUGUAUACUAGUUCCAGCUGCGCAGCUCUCUAGCUAGGUGACUUUGAACAAGCAGUCCAACCUUCUGAGCUCCCAUUUUCUUUCCUGUAAUAGUUGGAUAAAAUCACCUCGUAGUGGCAAGAAUCAAGAGACUUCUCAAAAGUUAAACAUAGAGGCCAGGCGCAGUGGCUCACAGCUGUAAUUCUAAGCACUUUGGGAGGCCGAGGCAGGUGGAUCACUUGAGGUCUGGAGUUUGAAACCUGCCUGGCCAACAUGGUGAAACUCUGUCUCUUCCAUCUCUACUAAAAAUACAAAAAAAAAAAAAAAAAAUAGCCAGGUGUGGUGGCUAAUGCCUGUAAUGUGCCAGUU
rnacentral:lncRNA from 1 species